UACGAAGGGGGCUAGCGUUGUUCGGAAUUACUGGGCGUAAAGGGCGCGUAGGCGGUGUGUCAAGUCAGGCGUGAAAGCCCCGGGCUCAACCUGGGAACCGCGCUUGAGACUGGCACGCUCGAGUUCGGGAGAGGAUGGUGGAAUUCCCAGUGUAGAGGUGAAAUUCGUAGAUAUUGGGAAGAACACCGAUGGCGAAGGCAGCCAUCUGGACCGACACUGACGCUGAGGCGCGGAAGGUCAGGGGAGGCAAACGGG
rnacentral:rRNA from 1 species